rnacentral:misc_RNA from 1 species
CCGAGUGCGGGCCCCCUAGGGGUCCAACCUCCCACCCGUGUCUAUCGUACCUUGUUGCUUCGGCGGGCCCGCCGCCCGCGGCCGCCCGGAGGCAUCCUGUCUCCGGGCCCGUGCUCGCCGAAGACCCCUCCGAACGCUGCCUGAAGGUUGCAGUCUGAGUGGCUUAGCGAAAUCGUUA